AUUCCUACGGGAGGCAGCAGUGAGGAAUCUUCCACAAUGGGCGAAAGCCUGAUGGAGCAACGCCGCGUGCAGGAUGAAGUCCUUCGGGUCGUAAACUGCUUUUAUUUGUGAAGAAUAUGACGGUAACAAAUGAAUACGGGUCGGCUAACUACGUGUCAGCAGCCGCGGUCAUACGUAGGACCCAAGCGUUAUCCGGAGUGACUGGGCGUAAAGAGAUC
rnacentral:rRNA from 1 species